rnacentral:piRNA from 1 species
UCCCUUGCCAUGAUGAUUUGAAGCAGCAC